CGCAAUUAUCAGGGGCGCGCUCUACCACUGAGCUAAUAGCCCGGGCGAGGUCUCUGGUUCAAGUCCAGGAUGGCCCA
rnacentral:tRNA from 1 species